rnacentral:rRNA from 1 species
CACUUAGGAAUCUACCUAGUAGUGGGGAGUAGCUCGGGAACGUACGAAUUAAUACCGCAUACGUCCUACGGAGGAAAGGGGACGAACUUGUUGCUCUCGCUAUUAGAUGAGCCUAAGUCGGAUUAGCUAGUUGGUGGGGUAAAGGACCUACCAAGGCGACGAUCUGUAGCUGGUCUGAGAGGAUGAUCAGCCACACCGGGACUGAGACACGGCCCGGACUCCUACGGGAGGCAGCAGUGGGGAAUAUUGGACAAUGGGGCGAACCCUGAUCCAGCCAUGCCGCGUGUGUGAAGAAGGCCU